rnacentral:rRNA from 1 species
UGUUUGGAUCAAAGCUCCGGCGGCGUACGGUGGCUCUGCGGCCUAUCAGGUUGUAGGGAGAGUAACGUCCUCCCUAGCCUUCGACGGGUACGGGUGUUGGGAGACAUCGCCCGGAGAUGAACUCUGAGACACGAGUUCAGGCCCUACGGGGCGCAGCAGGCGCGAAAACUGCACAAUGUGGGAAACCACGAUGCGGGAACCCCAAGUGUCUGCGCAAUGCGUAGACUGUCCCCAAGCGUUCAUUGCUUGGGAAGAAAGUGCUGGGUAAGACGGGUGCCAGCCGCCGCGGUAAUACCCGCAGCACGAGUGGUGGUCUUUAUUACUGGGCCUAAAGCGUCCGUAGCCGGUUAGGUAAAUGCCUGGGUAAAUCGAUGCGCUCAACGUAUCGAAUUCCGGGUAGACUGCCUGACUUGAGACCGGGAGAGGUGUGAGGUACUCCGGGGGUAGGGGUAAAAUCCUGUAAUCCUCGGGGGACCACCAGUGGCGAAGGCGUCACACUGGAACGGUUCUGACGGUGAGGGACGAAGCCCUGGGGCGCAAACCGGAUUAGAUACCCGGGUAGUCCAGGGUGUAAACGCUGCUGACUUGGUGUCGGGGGUCCUACGGGGGCUCUCGGUGCCGGAGAGAAGUUGUUAAGUCAGCCGCCUGGGGAGUACGGUC